AAACGUCAUGUCAUUUCCAUUUCGUUCGCCAAAGAUAUUGAAACGGAAAAGUAGGUCGUCAGUAUUGAUUUUUACAAUAUUCGUUGAACAAAGAACGUAGCUGUCCGCUGUAUCUGCAACGCGAUAAAUUAGAUGCAUUUCUGAAAUCGGCGCCAGCAUCGAGAAAAAUGCCUGACGCGGAGCUCACAGCUCCAACAGUGGAGAAUGUCCGCGUGGUCGUCCGUGUCCGGCCCAUGGACCAGCGAGAGAAGCUCGACGGCUCCUACAACUGUGUCUCCGUGGAUAGCACCAACCAUACUGUGGCGGUCACCAGGAACAACGUGACCCCGCCCGAACCGCCCAGGGUUUACGCUUACGAUGCCGUCUUCGAUUAUAAUACUAGUCAGAUGGACAUCUACGUGCAGACAGCCAGCCCCAUAGUGGAGCAAGUCCUCAAAGGCUACAACGGUACGAUCUUCGCGUACGGCCAGACCGGUACCGGCAAGACUUACACCAUGGCUGGCAGCAAUACUGCGCCGGAGUUGCGGGGCAUCAUACCCAACUCCUUCGCGCAUAUCUUCAGCCAUAUCGCUAAGGCUAAGGAUGAUGAGAAGUUCCUAGUAUGCGUGACAUACUUGGAGAUCUACAACGAAGAGGUGCGUGAUCUCCUCGGUAACAAUCCUCACCAGAGCCUGGAGGUCAAGGAGAGGCCCGAUAUAGGCGUCUUUGUUAAGGACUUGACAGGCUACGUAGUCCACAAUGCAGAUGAACUCGAAAAAAUAAUGGCGGUCGGCAACAAGAACCGUCACAUCGGAGCGACAGCCAUGAACACUGAGAGCUCGCGCUCUCACGCCAUCUUCUCCAUCACGGUGGAGAGCAGCAAGAAGGGCAGCGACAACAAGAUGCACGUCAAGAUGGGGAAACUGCACCUUGUCGACUUGGCUGGUUCAGAACGCCAAAGCAAGACUCAAGCCACUGGCACCCGUCUCAAAGAAGCGACUAAGAUCAACCAGUCUCUCUCAGUACUAGGCAACGUGAUAUCCGCACUGGUAGACGGCAAGUCUACUCAUAUACCCUACAGGAACUCCAAGCUUACCCGACUGCUGCAGGAUUCGCUAGGCGGCAACUCGAAGACUGUUAUGAUAGCCACAAUAGGCCCAGCAGACACCAACUACGUGGAGACUAUCAGCACUUUGCGCUACGCCAACCGCGCCAAGAACAUCGAGAACAAGACGCAUGUCAACAGCGAGCCGGGAGACGCUCUGCUUACUAGAUUCCAACAAGAAAUUGAUCAGCUCAAGAAACAAUUGGAUGAAUGCACUAAUGAAGUUGAAGAAGAAGAAGGCGAGGAAGAAGAGGAGUUAUCCGAGGAAGAUCUGUCAGACGACACCCUGACUGAACCAGAGUUGGACUCCCUCGAUCCCGUCGAGAAGAAGAUGCGACGCAAGCUCAGGAGAGAAGAGAAGGAGAAGUUGAACAGAGAGAAGGCUCAUCAAGCUCGCAAGGUCUUGGAAGAGAAGAAGGCUGAACUGCAGAGGACCAAGAAACAACAAGAAGAACUGAAAGACAAGCUCCAACGCCUGGAGUCCAAGGUCCUCGUAGGCGGCGAGAACCUUCUAGACAAGGCGGACGCUCAGCGCAGACUCCUGGAGCAGGCAGCCCGAGAGCUCGAGCAGAGGAAGCUGAACGAGCUACGACUGCAGGAGGACUUGCAGAAGAAAGAGGCUGAACGUCUAGACCUAGAAGAACGUUACUCCAGCCUCCAAGAAGAGAACGCAGCGAAGACCAGAAAACUGAAACGAGCAGUCCAACUCCUGAACAGCGCCAAAGCAGAACUAGCUGACCAGCAGAGAGAACAGCAGCGAGAGAUGGAGGGCAUCCUGGACAGCGUGAGGGCGCUCAAGCGGGAGAUACAGCUGGCGGACCUCGUGCUGGACUCUUAUAUACCUAAGGAGUAUCAGUCUCUGAUAGAGAAGUACGUGCACUGGAACGAGCAGCUGGGCGAGUGGCAGGUGAAGUGCGUGGCGUACACCGGCAACAACAUGAGCACCCCGCACCACGCCGCCGCCGCCCAUAGCCAUGCUAAACACAUGGACCCCCCCGACCUAUCAGACCGCUACCUGUCGUACAGCACCGUGAGCAGCCGCCCCGCCACCCGCCUCGCCCGCCCUCACACCUCCGCCGUGCCCAGGCCUCAUACUGCGCUCAGGCAGCGACAGUAGAUAUAAAUACAUAUACAAGGUGUUGAUUUGCAUUUGUGCCAUACUUCAGGAGGAGGACGUAUAAUACGUAAAUAAUCGAUUGGAAUUACAAUAGACGGGAAAUAGCUAAUAUGCACUGCUUUUUUUGUCAUUGUAAUGUCGUAGUAUUUCAGAAGUAAUCCAAUUUUAUGAAUGAAAUUUAUGAAUAAUGGUUGCGUAUGCUUUGUUUUUGCGUUUGUGUGAGAGCGCAGCACGGUUUUAAGACCAGUAACACACGCGCCAAGCUUAAAUACGGCUAAAUGACAUUGACGGAGUUCCGAAAAAAAAAUUACGUACCAAUUUUUUUGUUGAUUUGGGUCGAGAAUCAUUAGCAUAAUUACGUCCUUGAAUAUGGCACGGAUGCAAAUCAACGGCUUGUAUACCAGUUAUACCACGCAAGGAAAGAUGAUCGGAGAUACCACAACGCAGAAUUGAGUCCCAGGUCCAGGUCCCAGCGCCUUCUAGCUCAAAUUCGGAUGGUGGGCAUCAAAGUCAGAGUCAAAUAUUUCAAAUAGGCCUUUACAGGCUUUUAUAUAACGUUACACUAGUUGCACGGUUCACAAAAAGUUGAAAAAAAAAUUAAAUCGAUCUAUACUCGAUAAUUAAAAGAUCGUUAUUAUGUCACUAAAUUAUUUAUGACCAAUUAUCCGCUUUGGCGGCAUGAUAAAAGUUAUCUAUCAAAAAGUCAGGGAUAGAGUAUAAAAACUUCUUCGCUCCCCUCCGCUUUGGUGGAGCCUCGGCCACCAAAGCGGAACUAUACUCAAAAAAAGUGAGACACAUACUAUAUUUUAUAAUCUACUAUAAAAUAUUAAGUAUUUUUCUGUAUUUUAGCCCCAUGAAGUAGCACCUUAAUUUUAGCUGAAUUUAAAUAUAAUGCUCUAAAAAAUUACAUUAUAACUAAUGGCUCUCAAAAUUGUGUUAAUUUUUUUAUUAAUUUUGUAUUGAAAAUAAUUAUAAUAUUACCAAAAUUAUGUUUUACAAUUUUACUUUCGUUUUUAUUGUUGCGAAUAAUGAAAUUAAUGUUUUUUAAAUACAUACGUAUUAUUUACCAAAUUGUAUUAAGAAAUUAAUUCUCAAUAUGAGGCACAAAUUAUUGAAUUUCUCAAAAGGUAAUAUAUCCUUAGGCAGCUCACCAAUGAUAAUUGUGUUAGUAAAAAAUAAUGAAUUUUCAUAUUGUUUUAUUGUGCACGUGUGAUAGUCAAAAUUGUGAUACACUUGAGAUGAGUUGCACCAUUUAACUAUAACGAUAACCGAACCAUUUUCAGUUGUCAAAUCGAUUUGACCAAUGCGCGGCAAGUAUACGACUAGUUAUGGUUUGGUUAUCGUUAUAGUUAAAUGGUGCAACUCACCCUUAUUUUUUAUUAUUUUAAUGUAAGAUCUCUUCAAAAAUUACAAACUCUAAAGAAAAUACACUUGCCAGUAUUUUUUUUUUAUAUAAUUCACUAAAACUCAGUAAAUAUACCAUCAGUUUUUUUUUUUAUAUCAACUCAAUAUUUGCAUUUUUCGAAAUCAUUAUUGUUAUUGUAUAGAACUAUAACUUCUUACACAACGUAACUAGUCGCAUUCCAAUGGUUUUUUUUAAUAAUAAUUUUGUAUGUCUUUAGGUAAUAUCUUCAGUAUUAAAAUUGUGAACACAAAUAUUUUAUGUCUUGCUAUGUAUUUUGUGAUAAUUUGUGUUUGUGCAAUAUUUUAUUUGAAUUAAUAAAGUUUUUUUUACUAAAAA
rnacentral:misc_RNA from 1 species